GAGUCUCACUCUGUCUCCAGGCUGGAGUGCAGCGGCGCGAUCUCAGCUCACUGUAACCUCUGCCUCCUGGGUUCAAGCAAUUCUCCUGUCUCAGCCUCCCAAGUAGCUGGGAUUAUAGGUGCACGCCACCACACCCGGCUAAUUUUUGUAUUAUUAGUAGAGAUGGGGUUUCACCAUGUUGGCCAGGAUGGUCUCGAUCUCCUGACCUCGUGAUCCGCCUGCCUCGGCCUCCCAAAGUGCUGUGAUUACAGGCGUAAGACACCACACCCAGCCUCUGUGCUGUUAAUGUCCUCUUACUUCUUUGUCCUCAGUCUGAUUGUCUAACAAGUGCAGCUCUCCACUCCGAACAUUUCAACUGACAGCUGACAUCAAUACUGGCCAUCCUGAGAUUUAUCUUUUCAUAUAAGAAAAUAUUAUACUUUGGAGACCAGAGCUUAGAACGAACAAGAUUGUCUUCUGGAAGUGCCAUUAUCACAGAUAGAGAGCUGGGGCAGCCUCAGGCUGGUUCUAGCCAAGUUGGAAGAAGGUAAGAGUUAAUGGUGUAAGAAAAUAGCAAGAAGGCCCGUUGGGCAGGGAAAGUUCUGCGUGGAGCACAGUACUCAGCACCCGCGACCUCAGUGGAAGCAAUUUCAUUAUCUUUUGCUUUCAAGGCCCUCUCCCUCUCUGAGGAGGCUCUCUGCAUCUUGACCUUUGGUGACCUCAGAAUUUUCUGGCAGCCACUGGAACCAGGGAUCAUCUUUUCAGAAAUCUGUUUGGCAUCGUUCCGUGACUUAUCUUUCAGCCCUCAUCACAAUUAUUCAUGCUUUGGCAGUAUCCUAGCUACAGACACAGUACUCUUCUUGAGCUGAUACUGAAGGUUACUCCGUCCCAGCCUAUGGAGAAGGAAGGCACCCCACUCCUCAGGACCCUGACUCCAGGAAGCAUGCUCCCUGUGAGGGCAGGUGCUUAAAGGCAUCUAUUCAGAAGCUGUUCUCAACCUCCAGCCCUUGUGAACAGGCAAAUAGGUGAAGAUAACACAAAACAGGAACUGAUCCCCAAAUCAUAGGCAAUUUGGCUUUGGAAUGCAUUCCAAGGCACAUUUGCUGUACACUUGUAUGCACAUUCAUCCAAACUCAAAUGCUAAACUCCACCAGCUGCCUCUGGACUACACAAAAACCCCAAACCUUUAUCUCUUCAUUAACGAUGGCAAAUAUUUUCUGGCUUUACCUUUCUUCCCCACUUUAACAUCCUGCUUCUAUUCUGUGGCCUGCGCUUCCUGCUUUGUAUAUUUUAGAUUACUUUAGACAUGACCUCACAUCCUGGCCAAUUGCACAGUAGCUGCUAAUUGCUAGAGCUUUGCUAAUGGCCCGUACAUCGAUGAAGAAUGAGUUACAAGCAGCAAAAUCCAGAAGACAAUAAGCUAGUGUGGUUUAGAGCUGGGGCUCUGGAGAGAGACAGAUUUGGGUUUCAAUCUCAGACUGUAUGGCCUGGGGCAACUAACUUAACCUUUCUGAGUCUCUGUUAUCUCAUCUAAAUGGAGAUUAUAAUAGCUCCUACCUCACAGGGUUGUUGCUAAGAUAAAUACUGGACAAUGCCUAUAAACGACUUAGCACAAUGUAUAGCACAAUGUAAGCUAUCGUUAUUACCAUGUAGGCUUUCAAAUUAUGAAAGACCUUUCCUCCUCUAGAGUCUACAUAUUCCUGGGAUCCUACCCAGCUAUUCUGCUCCAUCUCUACCCUGCACCUGCCCAGCCCCAUCCCCCUGACCAACCACUUCCUCCAGGUAGCUUUCCUUGAUUGAGCAAAAUGCACACAAUUAUACAUUUGCGUUUUCUCUCUAUUGUUUUAUGUUUUUCAAGUGUUUCAUAUGGAUAUUUACAUUUUCCCCAAUUCACACACCAAGCUUCUCCAAGAUCAAGAAGCCUUGCCUUCAGUAGUAUCUUGGGUAGUGUAGACCCAAGAGCAACAUCCCUAGUAAACGGCUAGAUCUUCAGAACAAAAUGUGGAGACUACCUUUUAAGUCGGCCUUUUGUGUCCUUUGCAAAAUGGCUCUCUUGUUUAUCAAAGUCUGUCUUGUACAGUAAGCGUAUCAGAAGUUCAUCUGAAGGAAGCAUACAAAGGCAGGAAGCACUGACAUUUCCCCCCACCAUGAGGUCCCCAAAUCCAUUCCUUCCCCAUCUGCCAAGACAUUCAUCCAUGCUCUAGUUAUUUUCCACAUCACAGUAUUUUCUAAAAUUACUCUUUCCGGAGCCCUUCCUCACCCCUUCACUAUCUCACUUGAGUCUAUCCACGGCAUCAUUUUUCCCUCUGUUCUCUUAAUCCCCCUUGGUGUACACAGAACUUUCACAGGAAUGAUACUUGCUCCAUCAUCAUCUGUCUCUGUUUCCAGAGUCCACUUAGGCCCUUAGGCUUUGCUCUCCUGACUCUGACUUCCUGAAUUGUCCAGAAGUAGUUCCCCUCCUUGCCAGGUCUUGAGAUGUCCACGUGGAACUUUUCGGCCCGGCCCAUUUGUAUAUGAAUGUUUCACGCAACACUCUACUACAUCACUUCUGCUUCUGUGGGUAGCCAGCAGGGCCCUGUGUACAGGGAUCAUCUAUUUAAACUGAAAUCUUGUCAUUUGUUAUGGCAGUUUUAUGUAUGAGCCUGUGUGUUGUAACCUUGUGGCAUAAAUAUUAAAUAAUAAUAUCUCUUGGGCAAAAAAAAAUCAUUCAUGUUAACUGACAACUUCUUAUGAAAAUAUGAAGUAAGCCCAACCACACAAUUUGAUAUUGGCUAAUUCUGAAAUAUGAGUAAAAGCACGGAUUGCUCAACAGGUAGAUACACAGGCAGAAUUAUAAUUUGCAUUUUUACACUUUCUUGCUUCAAGAAAUGAAACAUUCAAGAAGUAAAAAACGUUAAAAGAAACGGGCUGAGUGGCAAAUUUCUUCAGAAUCAAAUUCUAAUUUCUGCCAGUAUCUCCUAAGCAGUUUUUAGCUUCCAAAAAGAAAGACUCCAAAUAAUGACAAUGCCACAUAAGCGAAAUGAAUUCUGGACAAUGACACUGCUCAUUUUUUUUUUUUUUUUUGGCAUUCUGUGAAUUUCCUAUUACAUCAGUUUCAUGAUUCAGCAUUUUCCAUUUCAUUUAUUUACAGUAAUAUAUGGCGAGAUAACCCAAGGUUUCUGCAGGAUUUUGGAACAUAAGUUACUCUGGGCAGGAAGGGUGUCGCCUUCUGUAAAUUUACUAUUGUUUGGGAGAACUCAAAACAGAAGCAAGCAAGCCCUCAAAGGAACUGAAAAAAUUUCUCCCCACUUUGUUCUGAGGGGUCUCAGCUACUCUGGUAUUUAAAAUAAAUUGGUUUUGAAAAAUAGGUUACUGCCCUUUAGUUGAUGACUAAAACAGAAGCCAAGAAGUGUGCAAAUUGCAAACUGACAUGCAUGAGCCAAACAUAUUCUCUGAAAUGACAAUGUUCAAGACGCAGCUAAAGUCACCACUCUGGCGGUAAGCGUGUUACAGAGAACUAGAUUUCUUUCCGGCAUCCGCAACUUGGCUGGAGUGACCAAGGAGGAGUUGAAGAGCGCUGGAGAUGCGAGCAAUAGAAAGCAAUCUCCCCCAUGUGGAGGACGUCAAGAGCCCCUUAAAUGGCUGUUCCUGCUCUCUUCGGCUCUUCCUGCCUGGACUGAGGCACCCAUGCCCCCGCUGCUGUGAAUGCUGCCUGUUAACAACACAGCUGUUCCCUUCUCCUGAGACUUGCCCUGGGAGAAAAGCACCACUCACUUGGAAAAGCUGGGGAGGUUUGCCUUCCCGCUGGGGCCAGCACAAAGACUAGCCCUCUUGCCUCGCUCAAGAGGGCAAUCUGUGUCCCCAUACAUGCCCCAGAGCUACCACAGGAUCAAGCUGAGGCCAAACCUCCUCUGAGCCUGUCCUAUUUGCGUUUUCCUCACACCCUUACAGGUUUCACUUGAAAGCACUCCCUCAAGAAAUUGCUUGCCCAAGGAGCCCCGUUUCUGGCUCAGCAUCUUGGCAAACCAAUCUAAGCCGCCUCGCUAAGCCAUCCUUCCCACUGCAAGCAGAAUAGUCUUUUCAAACUGCAGCCUGAUCAUGCCACUUCCUUUCUUAAGCCUUCAAUGCCUUCCAUUGUCCAAACUCCGGAGCUUGGGUCUUAAUCCCCCGAGACCUGGCUCUCCUUCCACCUUCAUCCUCACCUCCCAGGGAGGUCACUUCCUCCAGAGAUGCCUAUCCAGACCCCCUACCAUAAAUACUAUCGUAUUGAGACUGCCCGCUUGCUUUUCUUUCUUCUCCUCUAGACUGCAAACUCCUCUGGAAUUCCAGAAACCUACCACGCAUGUGGCACAUAUGAGACCUUCAGUAAUUAUUUGUUGAUUGACAAAAUUGAACUGAUGAAUGAUUGAACUAGAUACUUCAUACAUGUUUAAUAAUAACAGCCAAAUGCCAACUUCAAGUUAACGUUAUAUCAAUAUUUGCCUCCUUGUGAUUUAUCUAAAGUUCUCCUAAGUGGCAGAAUUCACUGGGAAUGUAUUAAAAUAAUUACAUGUUU